AGUACAAUCCUUUUGGGCUGGCUUCUCCAUUUCCCCCCGCUUGAUCUCUUCACAGUUCUGUCCAAGAGCCCACCACACUCAGGGGAAGCCAGCUCUUCCUGCAGAAGUCAGACCAGCAGAAGGAACUUCCAGGCCCAUGAAUUCACACUUCAGAGGGACAAACAAAAAGAAAGGAGAAAUGGAUAUGGAAAUGACCGGCAGAAUCCGAGACCAGGGAGAAGAGUCGGUGGAAGAAGAUUGGAAGAAAUUUAAAGACUAUUUACAGAAAC